GGGUCAGUAGGUUGGUCGUGCCACCGGUACGUACUGGUCUCACUGAUUCCUCCUCCCUGAAGAACCGUAAUGCCAUUAAUUUGGUGUUGCGGGGAAACAGGACUGUUACUUUGAAAAAAUUAGAGUGUUCAAAGCAAGCUAACGCUUGAAUACAUUAGCAUGGAAUAAUGAAAUAGGACGAUCGGUCCUAUUUUGUUGGUUUCUGGGAUUGACGUA
rnacentral:rRNA from 1 species